CUUAUACACAUCUAGAUGUGUAUAAGAGACAGGGCUCGACUCGAGCGAAGCGAGAGAACGUUGCCGCUGGCAAUGGCCCGAAGGGCGAGGAGCGAUAGCGACGAGUUAUCCUUCCCCCACCACCA
rnacentral:sRNA from 1 species